GACAGUGGGUGCAAACGUUGUUCGGAAUUACUGGGCGUAAAGCGAGUGUAGGCGGUUUGGUAAGUCGGGUGUGAAAGCCCUGGGCUCAACCCAGGAAGUGCACUCGAUACUGUCAGGCUAGAGUAUCGGAGAGGUUGGUGGAAUUCUCGGUGUAGAGGUGAAAUUCGUAGAUAUCGAGAGGAACACCGGUGGCGAAGGCGGCCAACUGGACGAAUACUGACGCUGAGACUCGAAAGCGUGGGGAGCAAACAGG
rnacentral:rRNA from 1 species